GGCUCUGAUUUUUCAGCUCCCCACUUAUUCUCUCCACCAGAAUGAGGCCUGCUUGCCAGUUUCAAUACUCCCAGUCUUGUAUCCCAGUGAUUGGGCUCAGUUUCUGUUCUUUCCUACCUUAUUUUUAGACAAAUUCCCCUAGACAGCCUGACUCUGCUAUGAGAUACCCCAUUAUUCUCAUUGCCCACUGAAGAGGGCUCCAUGACCCGCUCCUCCACUCUGGAUGGCUUCAUCUUAUUUUCUAGUCUCCUGGAAUGGAACUUGAAUUCUCUCAUUCUUUUGUGUAUUGUUCCCUAUUUCUCAAGUGCUGUUGAGGUCACGAUUCUGUUUACUCCUGCUCCCCACCCUGCAUGUUUUGGCUGGUCUCUCUUUCACUUUUAGGUUGCUAUUAAGUACCAGCCAUGGCAUUUUAUGUUGGCUUUGCUAUGUAAGCUAAUGCUACCAUUAAAUGAAAAGCUAACUUAUUCAUUAAGAUACUCAACAGUAAUUAGCAUUUGGAGCAUGAUUGCUUUGGAGCAUGAUCACAGUGUAAAACUACAUUGUGUCUCUUUGUUUCAGGUCUUGAUUUACAUGAAGACCCUGGUGAAGAGACCAAACUACUCUCCCAGUCUAUCAUUCUAGUGGCACCGGAAAUUGGAUUUGGCUCGGGAAACUUCCAGUCUUAAAUGGUUAAGCAUCCAGAUACAAGAUGUUGACAAUGUUGCUCCAUAAAACAAGCCAAAUUGGACAGUGAGCGCCUUUGGUGGAUGGCAUGUGUCACUGAGCUUUCAAGUAUUUUGGAAACUCCAUACUUUUGUCGAGAUGGGAGUAAAAGCAAGGAGAAAGAGCUCUUUGGAAAUCUCAUAGUGAAAGGUUAUGGGAUUGCCUCAGUCAGGAGGACCUGCUUAACUCUGCAAUUCCGAGGGUUUCUAGAGGCGCUCCAAAGCCUUUGCCGGAAGGUGGCGACAUCCGCCCUUCUUGCCUAGAGCUGUCCCAGGUGCUGAAGCCGACAUCCGCGCUUGAGGGAAACCGCGGGCCGCCGAUCCGAGAUUCCAAGUUCCCCUAGAGGUUUGCAGGCUCUGGCCAGACAAGCCAAAGGCCAGAUCAAGUGCUCGACCUUGUUUACAGAACCCAGGCAAAAGACUCCCUUCCCUAAGUAUACUCCGCCAUGAAGCUACGAACCGUGGUAAUGUUCAUUGACAUUAAAAACAGGUGAUGGUAACGGAAAGGCGUGUGUUUAUCUAUGUGUGCAGAAUGCAUACGGAAUUGAGUUUUUUCUUCACUCUGAGAUGUAUUUACCUGUCCGUUGAUAUGCCCUUUCCCUCCUAAUUUCCCAAAGCAAAUAAAUAAAUAAAGCCACAGGCAACAUCCUCCCCCAAGAGAAUCAGGCUGGACUGUCAGAGAAUGAACGGGCUGGCAGGCUUCCUUAAAAAAAAAGCUAAAAAAAAACACUUUGUCUUCUUUCCAUCAGUUAACAAUAAUUUACAGACGACCCCGGGCCUGGCUACCUCCCCGUUCAGGCUCCGUGUGGCUCCUUUGC
rnacentral:lncRNA from 1 species